AAGAAAACAAAAAGAUACGACUGCAAGCGGUGGAAACAGGAUUGAUGGGAAUUUGAUGACAGAGGGAGCCGGCCAUCUGCAGGGCCUGUGCCAUUCGCAUCAUACUACUUUCUCUCUCUAACUUGACUAUCUCUCUCUAACCGUCUGUUUUCCCUUCUUUCCCAUUUCAGCCCGCCAUUAUCUCUCUCCUCCUUCCCUGUGAUCUCCCCUCUUCCUCAAGCUACACAUUCUCUCUCUUACUUGAUCGCAGGCCUUUCUCUCUCUACAACCGCAUCAUUUUUCUCUCUCCACUUUAUCGCAGGUUUCCUCUCUCUUGUGGCUCUUCUUGAGGGAGUGAGACCUCAAUCAGAAGAAUUUAUCUCUCCCUCUCUUUCUUUGUCACUCUACAAUGUCUUCGAGGUCUCAGCGAUCUUCGAGCAGUAUUUCUCCAUUUCGAUUGAGAAAUAAGCAGCCUUCUUCUGUUAAGAGGCCCGCCACUCCUCCCUCCUCCACCUCUUCUACGCGCCCUCCUCCCCCCUCGAAGUCCUCUGUCUCUCCCUCCACUCCAUCUUAUGACAAGCUUGAAGUCGGUAAAUCCAAGGAGAAUGUCACUGUUACUGUUAGAUUUCGCCCUCUCAGUGCUCGUGAGAUAAACAAGGGGGACGAGAUCGCCUGGUAUGCUGAUGGAGACUACACAGUCCAGAAUGAGUAUAAUCCAUUGGUAGCAUAUGGUUUUGAUAGAGUGUUUGGUCCAGCGACAACCACUCGUCAUGUGUAUGAUGUUGCUGCUCAGCAUGUUGUGAGUGGUGCAAUGGAAGGCAUUAAUGGCACUGUAUUUGCUUAUGGUGUUACUAGCAGUGGAAAGACUCAUACAAUGCAUGGUGAACAAAAGUCACCAGGAAUAAUCCCAUUGGCAGUGAAGGAUGUAUUUGGCAUCAUACAGGAGACACCUGGAAGGGAGUUUCUUUUGCGUGUUUCAUACCUAGAAAUAUACAAUGAGGUUAUUAAUGACUUGUUAGAUCCCACAGGCCAGAAUUUAAGGAUUCGUGAAGAUGCACAGGGAACAUAUGUGGAGGGUAUUAAAGAAGAGGUUGUUCUAUCUCCUGCCCAUGCUCUUUCAUUGAUAGCUUCAGGAGAAGAGCAUAGGCAUGUGGGAUCGAAUAAUUUUAAUUUGCUCAGCAGUCGGAGCCAUACGAUUUUUACCUUGACUAUAGAAAGUAGUGCACGGGAUGAUCAGGGAGAAGAGGAUGUCACACUAUCUCAGUUGAACUUGAUUGAUCUUGCAGGAUCUGAAAGUUCAAAGACAGAAACAACUGGGUUACGAAGGAAAGAGGGCUCUUACAUAAAUAAAAGCCUGCUCACACUUGGGACUGUAAUUGCUAAACUAACUGAUGGUAAGGCGACACAUAUACCAUACAGAGAUUCAAAACUAACACGCUUGCUGCAAUCCUCUUUGAGUGGACAUGGUCGAGUGUCACUAAUUUGUACACUAACACCUGCUUCUAGCAAUAGCGAGGAGACGCACAAUACAUUGAAAUUUGCACAUCGAAGCAAGCAUGUUGAAAUAAAAGCUUCACAAAAUAAGAUAAUGGAUGAGAAGUCUUUGAUAAAGAAGUAUCAGAAGGAGAUUUCCAGCUUAAAACAAGAGCUUCAGCAGCUGAAGAGGGGCAUAAUUGAUAAGCCAUAUUUGACUGCAUCUAGCCAGGAGGAUCUUGUCAAUCUGAAGCUUCAGCUGGAGGCUGGCCAAGUCAAAUUGCAAUCAAGAUUGGAAGAGGAGGAACAAGCAAAAGCUGCUCUGAUGGGGAGGAUCCAACGGCUGACAAAACUUAUCCUCGUUUCUACAAAGAACACUAUUGCGACAAACAUUCCUGAAAAGGCUGGUCAUCGGCGACGCCAUUCAUUUGGUGAAGAUGAGUUGGCAUACCUUCCAGAUAGGAAGCGAGAAUACAUGGUUGAUGACGACCAUGUUAGCCUUGAUUCAGACUUUUCAGCAGAAGGAAGACUUGAAUAUGGCACCCUAGAAGAUCUGACUAAAGAUAACAAGAAGAACAGAAGGCGUGGAAUGCUUGGAUGGUUCAAACCUAGGAAGCAAGAGAACAUUGGCGGUCUGUCUAGUAGUAUCGAUAGUGGGAGCUCUGCUAGUGCUUCUCCUGCAUCUUGUUCUUAUUCAUCCCAAAGAAAGGAUUUUCUUCCCGAUUUGAAAGACAAUAGAAGAAAGUCUAUAAGUCGAAAAAGUGAAGAUGCUCUGUCUAUGAUCGAUUCAUUUUCAGAACAAACGCAAGCUGGUGACUUGUUUAGUGCAACAGCUAGAGGACGUCGCCUCCCCCCUACUGGGACAACUAUUACAGACCAGAUGGAUCUUCUCCGAGAGCAGGUUAAGAUGCUGGCAGGGGAGGUAGCAUUGUGUAAGAGUGCCAUGAAACGAUUAUCAGAGCAGGCAGCAGCAAAUCCAGAAGAUUUGCAACUUCUGGAACAAAUACAAAAGCUAAGAUAUGAUAUCAAUGAAAAGAAACACCAAAUGCAUGUUCUUGAGCAGCGUAUGAUUGGUUCUAUUGAAGCUACUCCACGAUCAGCUAAUACCAGUGGUGAACUGUCUCAGACCCUCUCAAAGUUGACUACUCAGUUGAAUGAAAAAACUUUCGAACUUGAGAUUAAAUCAGCAGACAACAGGAUCCUUCAAGAGCAGCUACAAAUGAAGUUAUCUGAAAAUGCAGAAAUGCAGGAGACUAUUCUUCUCCUGAGACAACAGCUUAGUUCUGUGUCCGUUAAAAGCUGCAAUCAACUAGUACAAAACAAUUCCAUGACUGAGGCUUCUAAAGAAAUUGGUGGGUGGCCAGACAUGAAUGGUGGUGCAUCUGAUGAGACUUGUCUUGAUGGAAAUACACCUACAAGCCUGUCAAGUUUGCCAAGCCUAUUUUCACAGGAAGAUUAUAAAGACUAUAAAGGAGGCAAUGCUGAUACAAAUCUACAAUCUCAACUUCUUCUUCAGGCUGCUGAAAUAGAGAAUCUAAAGCAAGAAAAAGUUAGACUCAUGGAAGAGAAGGAUGGACUAGAAAUUCAUAGCCAGAAAUUGGCAGAAGAAGCAUCUUAUGCCAAGGAGUUGGCUUCCGCUGCAGCUGUUGAACUUAGAAACCUGGCUGAGGAAGUCACAAAACUUUCUUACCAAAAUGCGAAGCUGACUGCUGAUUUGGCUGCAGCAAAUGAUCUUGCACAUCAUAAAGCUGAUUCCUUCCAGAGGCCUCUCCUUGAUAAUAGGAAGCGAGAGCUUAGCAGUGGUGACCCUUGCUUAAGAGAAUCUGAAAAUGAAGUUUUGAUCAAGUUACAGAAGGAGCUUGAAUCAAGAUGUCAAUGGGAAAAGUCACUGGAGGCUACUUUAUCUGAGAAAAACAGAAAAGAAGAAGAGUUACUCAAAAGAAUAGAGGAGGCAAAACAUCAAGAAGAAGAUUUAGAAAAUGAGCUUGCAAAUAUGUGGGUCCUUGUUGCAAAAUUGAGGAAGUCUGAUGCCACAAGUAAUGAUUUUCCAGUGGAAGGGAUGGAUGCCUCUUAUUCAUCGAAAAGCAUGGCACACAAAGGUUUAUCAAUGUCUAACGGCUAUGCUUGUAAAAAUUCUGUGGGAAAUGAUACUAGCAAGGUAAGGGACGAUCUUAACACCAUUGAAGAAUUGAGCAUUUCAUAUGAGAAUGAAAAGAGAAAAUGCAAAGAGCUAGAAAUUCUCGUCUCCAGGAUCAAGGGUGAAGAUCUCACUGGUCUAGAUAUUACUUCUCUUGAAGCAUUGCAAAGCCUCCAUGUUGAAGCAAUUACAAAAAUCUGCCAUACAAAGUGCAUAAACCAUCUCUUGUGACCUGUACAGAUCUCCUGACAUAAACCUUAUGAUGUAGAGUUCUCUAUCACUUUUAAAGCAGUAAGGCAAUUUAUCAUUGUGAUGGUGCCUGAUUUCCAAACAUAAACUCCUGGAGCAAGUUGUGUUGUCACACUGAAAGGUGAAGGGGCCAUGGCGGUGGCGGAUAGAGUCCCCACGUUUGCUUUGCUUGGUUUUAUCAGGCACGAUUGGGGAAGAGGGACUCACUCGUGUGCCAUGCAUUGUUUUUGUUUAUGGCGUAGUCCAUGCCGUGUUCAUCUGAGGCGUUUUGUUUUUCGAGGACUGUGUCCCUAUGCUCAGAAGUCCCACCCUUGUUGAUUUUACAGAGUUUUGGCACUGAGCCUUUUGUACAUGUUAACUGGACUUACCUUUUUGGAGGCUUGCUCCCCAUUUUUUUU